AACGUAGGAGGCAAGCGUUAUCCGGAUUUACUGGGCGUAAAGCGUGCGCAGGCGGUUUUGUAAGCCAGAUGUGAAAUCCCCGGGCUUAACCUGGGAAUGGCAUUUGGGACUGCAAGGCUUGAGUUUGGCAGAGGAGACUGGAAUUCCUGGUGUAGCAGUGAAAUGCGUAGAUAUCAGGAGGAAUACCGAUGGCGAAGGCAGGUCUCUGGGCUGAAACUGACGCUCAUGCACGAAAGCGUGGGGAGCAAACAGG
rnacentral:rRNA from 1 species